CCCAUACAAAAAUAUUACUCAUUUUUCCUCAUCUUUGCCUUAAGUGCUGGGAUACGGAAGCGGAUAGAGAUAGGAAACAAAAUCUAAGAUGAAACCAAAAUUAAUAAGUCUAGUAAGAACGUGUCUGGCGAAAAGAGAAAAUUGAAAGAGGAUGACAAUAACAAUGAUUGCAGGUCAGUUGAAUUCAUUCUUCUGUCUUCAAUCUGGGAUGAUACUCUUCUUUCCAGUUCUCUUUGAUUUUUUUUGCAGGUAGGUAGGACGGCAGGGCAAUUUGGAAAGCCAAGGUCAGACCCAUUUCAGAUUAAAGACGGAGUUAAGUUACCGAGUUAUCGAGGAGAUAAUGUGAAUGGCGAUGCUUUUGAUGAGAAAUCUAUAGUACCUGACCCUCAAAGAUUGAUUAGAGCUUAUCUUCAAUCUGUUGGUAAAAACAUGUAGUGCAGUGAAGAUUUUAGCAUUGAUCCCAUGUGUACACACUGUCCUAAUUUAGCUCCAAACGGAUUGAUGAAAAUGUUCAGAGGGAAAUCAUUAACCACCGAUCUUUAAGACAUCCAAACAUAAUCAUGUUUAAAGAGGUUUUGGUGACUCCAACACAUUUAGCUAUUGUUAUGGAGUAUGCUUCCGAAGGUGAACUCUUUGAGAGAAUAUGCAUCGCCAGUCGAUUUAGCGAAGACGAACUGAGUUUCUAUCCACAUUCAAUUGAAUGAGCUAAUCUUUCUUUCUCUCUUGUCUCGAAAUUAUUUUGAAUUCAUGUUUACUUACGAAAUUUGUUUGUCGAAAGGCAAGGUUUUUCUUACAGUAGUUAAUAUCUGGAGUCAGCUACUGUCAUUCAAUGGGAAGUUAUAAAAAUAUAAGUAACCCUUUGAGAUUCUGUUUGAUGGUUACUUUCAUGCCUCAUUCUAUAGUUCUGCUUCAGCAAAUUUGUCACAGGGAUCUGAAACUAUAAAACACACUCCUGGAUGGAAGUCUGACACCACGACUUAAAAUAUGUGACUUCGGAUACUCCAAGGUUCAUUUCCAAAUUCGAAAUAAACACUAUCUUUCAUGGAAUCUGCUAUUCUUACUCUAUUUUUCAAUGUUCAGUUCUCUAAUUUCUUUACUGAACAGUCUGAAGUGUUGCAUUCACAACCAAAAUCAACUGUUGGAACACCGGUGUAUAUUGCCCCGGAAGUCCUAUCACGAAAGGAAUACGACGGGAAGGUAUAAAUUUUUCUGUUUUCUAAUCAAAUGUAACACAGACAUUCAACCUCGGAUAUAAAUUUGUGCUUGAUGCAUAGAUAAUCUCUUCCUUAUUAUUUGGUUAAUUUGAUCAUUUGCUAGCUGUUGUAGAUUGCAGAUGUUUGGUCCUGUGGUGUGACAUUAUACAUGAUGUUGGUUGGAUCAUACCCUUUUGAGGAUUCCGAUGAUCCUCGGAAUUUCUGUAAGACCAUCGGAGUAAGUUCUCAAUUCUGUCUCUUACAUGAGCUAUGAUUUCCAUUUUCCUUAUUGAUUUUGUUGUAACAGAGAAUAAUGAGUGUUCAAUACAAUAUACCCGACUAUGUAAGAGUGUUUGUGGAUUGCCGACAUCUUCUUUCCCAUUUCUUCGUUUCCAUUCCUGCCAAUUUAUAACUUAUUUUUCUUAUUUUUAUACUUCGAAGUUCAACAAAAACCUUAGUUGUAUAUAAUUGAAAUGAUAUACACACUUUGAUUACAUAUAGAGGAUUAGCAUCCCGGAGAUUAAGCAGCAUCCUUGAUUUCUGAAAAAAUUUAUCGAAAUAACUGGUGGAAAUCGAAAAAACAAACUUUGCGGAAUUAGAACACGGUCAACUGUCUCAAAGUGUAGAAGAAAUAAUGCGUAUCAUACAGGAUGCAAGACAACAAUAGCCGAAGGAGCCGAAGUUGGUGAACAAGCAGUUGUUGGUUCAUCCGACCUGAUGCUGCUGAAGGGGAUUUAGAAUCUGAAAUCGAUGUCAGUGGUGACUUUGAUGCCACUGUGUGAGAACAUGAUGUUUAAGUUGUUGAAGAAAAUUUGGUGUGUAGUUUCUUUGGGAUUACAGUUUAGGUAAGCAUUUUUAUCAUACUGGAAAAUGUGUACAGCAGACUGACACCGAAUUGGAGUUAUGUUGCCUUUGUGUGUGUGUGUGAUGAAUGUCUCAUAUUGUAGAUUGCAUACUUUGUGGAACAUUGUAUUGUUUUGCAUUACUUUGUAUGCUAACAAUAUUACAGUCGGAUUUUGUAAUCAAUCCAGUUGUUUAUCGAACAUGCAACCUAUCUAACACAUGGCAUUACUGGUUCUCACUUUUUGUCCUCUUCUAGUCCGUAGUAAGUCACAUAGUAGCCUUUUUUCCAUCUGCUGUAAAAUAAAUGGAAUAUUUGAACUCUUUGCUCGGCCUUUUGUUUUGUGUGUUUAUGUCCUUUUGUGCUGUUUGUAACUGUUGGAAGAAAAGCUGAAUGCUUUGUGUUUGGUGUCGAAGUUAAACUGAAGAAUCUGGGGUCUAUUUCUUCUCUUGGGGUUUAUCUUUGUUUUUGAGGUUUCACAUUCUUUUAUAUAUAUUACCUAUAGAUU